GCCAAGUCCUAGCUAGAGUCAGUCCGUAGUCAUGGUAGUGCCAAGUCCUAGCUAGAGUCAGUCCGUAGUCAUGGUAGUGCCAAGUCCUAGCUAGAGUCAGUCCGUAGUCAUGGUAGUG